rnacentral:rRNA from 1 species
GGCAGGCCUAACACAUGCAAGUCGAGCGGUAGCAGGAAGUGCUUGCACUUCGCUGACGAGCGGCGGACGGGUGCGUAACACGUAGGAAUCUGCCCGGUAGUGGGGGAUAGCCCGGAGAAAUUCGGAUUAAUACCGCAUACGCCCUAAGGGGGAAAGCAGGGGAUCUUCGGACCUUGCGCUAUCGGAUGAGCCUGCGUCGGAUUAGCUAGUUGGUGGGGUAAAGGCCUACCAAGGCGACGAUCCGUAGCUGGUCUGAGAGGAUGAUCAGCCACACUGGGACUGAGACACGGCCCAGACUCCUACGGGAGGCAGCAGUGGGGAAUAUUGCACAAUGGGCGAAAGCCUGAUGCAGCCAUGCCGCGUGUGUGAAGAAGGCCCUAGGGUUGUAAAGCACUUUCAGUGGGGAGGAAAGGUCGAAGGUUAAUACCCUUUGGCUGUGACGUUACCCACAGAAGAAGCACCGGCUAACUCCGUGCCAGCAGCCGCGGUAAUACGGAGGGUGCGAGCGUUAAUCGGAAUUACUGGGCGUAAAGCGUGCGUAGGCGGCCAUUUAAGUUGGAUGUGAAAGCCCCGGGCUCAACCUGGGAACUGCAUCCAAAACUGGGUGGCUUGAGUGCGAGAGAGGAGUGUGGAAUUUCCUGUGUAGCGGUGAAAUGCGUAGAUAUAGGAAGGAACACCAGUGGCGAAGGCGACACUCUGGCUUGACACUGACGCUGAGGUACGAAAGCGUGGGGAGCAAACAGGAUUAGAUACCCUGGUAGUCCACGCCGUAAACGAUGUCUACUAGUUGUCGGUGGUCUUGUACUGCUGGUAACGCAGCUAACGCGAUAAGUAGACCGCCUGGGGAGUACG